GGCAGUGAGGUACAACAAGCUAUGUAGUUUUCUUUCUCCUAAACGGGAAGAAACACGGAGAGGAAGAAAAGUGUGCAUUUUCAGUUGCAAAUGGAGACGGGGGCACACCAUGUUCCCUGAAAUGAUUGUACCUCCCAUUGGUAAGAAUCAGGUAUUACACAGCAAGUGGGCACCAAUAUAUCAUUUCCUCAGUAGUCAUAACUGCAAUGGAUUUUCUUACAUCAGUAUAACCAAUUCACCAAAGAAGUUUGGUCAAAAUAUCUAAGAGUGUCUUACCAAUAAUCAGGUUUGUCUUUUAGCGAGAGUCUAAAAACUCAAACAUAUCUAAAAGCCAUGAAACAGACGGCCUGGAAACUGCAUGGAAUGAUGAGGACCGCAGUGAACUCUGAAGUGCAUACUCAUGUGAAACGAACAAGUGCUAUUCGGAAGAAGCAGAUUGUGUUAAUGUGGGUAUCCAAGCCUAGAAUCAUGAAAUUCUAUUUUUAAGAGAAAACUUACAAUGUGAAUUUUCAUGUUUCAUCAUUAAAAUGCUUUAUUAAAACACUAAACAUGGCCACAAAGCUUUAUGGAUAAAACAGACAAUAUCUGGAUAUUUUGCAUGAAUCAUAAAACAAGAAAAAGGAGUAAGGAGUUGGCACCAUAUGAAUCAUUAUAAAAAAGGAGAAAGUAAAAUGAUUAAGUAAAAGGGAGAAAGUGCAAAAAUUUAUG
rnacentral:lncRNA from 1 species